UACGUAGGGUGCAAGCGUUGUCCGGAAUUAUUGGGCGUAAAGAGCUCGUAGGCGGUUCGUCGCGUCGGCUGUGAAAUCCCGGAGCUCAACUCCGGGUCUGCAGUCGAUACGGGCGGACUCGAGUUCGGCAGGGGAGACUGGAAUUCCUGGUGUAGCGAUGAAAUGCGCAGAUAUCAGGAGGAACACCGGUGGCGAAGGCGGGUCUCUGGGCCGAUACUGACGCUGAGGAGCGAAAGCGUGGGGAGCGAACAGG
rnacentral:rRNA from 1 species